AGGUCGAAAUUUUCAAUGAAUUCCCCGCUGACAAGACCAUAACAGUGAACAGAUGUGGACCCCUAAUUGAUUUAUGUCGAGGACCACAUAUUCCUAAUACAUCCUUUGUCAAAGCAAUUGCAUGUUUGAAGGCUUCGUCAGCAUAUUGGAAGGGAGACUAAGAUUGAGAAAGUUUACAAAGAGUUUAUGGCAUAUCUUAUCCUAAUCAGAAGAGUUUAAAGGAAUAUUUGCAUCGCCUUGAAGAGGCUAAAAAGUACGAUCACAAUAUUUUGAGGGUGAAACAAGAGCUUAUUCUUCAUCACGAGCGGAGGUAUAGUGGGUUCAUUCUUUCUUAUUUCAUAAUUUAGUAGGGUUUUCUUACUGCUGUCUCUAGGCCUGUCCUGUUUAUGUUAGCCCGGGAAGCUGGUUUUUUCUUCCACACGGUACUCGUGUCUACAUCAAACUCAUGAACUUCAUUCAAAAUCAGUACAGAGAUAGGGGUUAUCAAGAGGUUAUAUCACCGAAUAUGUAUAACAUGGAGCUGUGGAAGGAAUAUGGUCAUGCAGAAAAGUAUAAAGAUGAUAUGUUUGUUUUGGAGGUAUAGAUUAUUUCUGUUUGCAUGUAUUUUUCUAAAAGAGUUAGUCUUGGG